UCUGCCAGGGCGUCGGAAAGAAAAGAGACAGAAAGAAUAAGCAAAUAUGAAACCUGCUCUAGUAACCUGCAUUUGAAGAAGAUAUUUUGCUUUGUGAGACAUUGCCCUAAAUGUAUUAGUAUUCUUAAAAAUGGUUAUUUUUCUGAGUGAUUGGAACAGGCCUCAGCUCAACCGUGACAUAAUUAAGGUCGCAGUCUCCCAGUGUGCCGUUGAUCAGCUGAUUGGGCGUCCACUUCAGCGUGAGGGUCUCAGCUGCCUGAUGAAGGGACAGGGCAGGCCUGCGACCUGGUGAGACCUCUUGUCCUCUGUGGGCCCCGUGGAUGCGGUGUCUUUGCACAAGCUCAUUUGCUGAUGGGUCCGUCCAGAAAUGAUCUGACGUC